AAGAGGGUCUGGGGGAAGAAGAAAUGAAACAAGGGAGAGAGGUGCUGGUGUAGAAGAUUUGCUGUGAGGUCUUUCUGGGUCUGAUGGAGUUGGAGGCUGCUGUUGGAGCCUGCAGUCACAGAGGAGCCAGGUCCAGGCUGUGACAGAUACUGCAGCUGGCUGUGAUUCAGUUGGCUGUUUUCCAGAUAGAAGAGCCCUGAAAUGCACUUAACAUGUUUUCUACUGCUGCUGUCUGGGACCUUCUCACUUGCUUUAACAGUGUCCACAGUAAAUACCUUUGCCUGAGCUAGUCCCAGAAUCUGGUAGGGGUGGGAUGUCAUCUGUGGAGGCAUCCUUGCAGCUGGCUGGAGGAGCAGGAGGAAUCACUUGUGCUGCUGAACACAGGUGCGAUUCAUUGGCAGAAGCUGGAACUUGCCAAAGAGAAAAAAGGAGGACAGUCCCUCUGCCGGACAUAGCAGAAAUGGUCAGAAGCUCCUGGUCUCUAUGACCAUGAUCACCUCAAAAUUCCUGCCAGGCUAGAUACUCUUGGCAGAAUGAUUUCAUACGGAAUUGACUUCAGUAUC